rnacentral:snRNA from 1 species
GUGCUCAUUUCAGCAGCACAUAUACCAUAAUUGGAACAAUACAGAGAAGAUUAGCAUGACCCCUGUGCAAGGAUGACAUGAAAAUUUGUAUAGCAUUCCAUAUAAUU